UACAGAGGGGGCAAGCGUUGUUCGGAAUUACUGGGCGUAAAGGGCGCGUAGGCGGCCUGCUAAGUCGAACGUGAAAUCCCUGGGCUCAACCCAGGAACUGCGUCCGAUACUGGUUGGCUUGAAUCCGGGAGAGGGACGUGGAAUUCCAGGUGUAGCGGUGAAAUGCGUAGAUAUCUGCAGGAACACCCGUGGCGAAAGCGGCGAGCUGGACCACUACUGACGCUGAAGAACGAAAGCUAGGGGAGCAAACAGG
rnacentral:rRNA from 1 species